rnacentral:rRNA from 1 species
AUCGANAAGACCUUAUGCUUUUGGAGCGGCCGAUGUCUGAUUAGCUAGUUGGUAAGGUAAUGGCUUACCAAGGCAACGAUCAGUAGUUGGUCUGAGAGGACGACCAGCCACACUGGGACUGAGACACGGCCCAGACUCUACGGGAGGCAGCAGUGGGGAAUUUUGGACAAUGGGCGCAAGCCUGAUCCAGCAAUGCCGCGUGAGUGAAGAAGGCCUUCGGGUUGUAAAGCUCUUUCAGUUGAGAAGAAAAGAUUGUGACUAAUAAUUGCAAUUCAUGACGGUAUCAACAGAAGAAGCACCGGCUAACUACGUGCCAGCAGCCGCGGUAAUACGUAGGGUGCGAGCGUUAAUCGGAAUUACUGGGCGUAAAGGGUGCGCAGGCGGUUCUGUAAGUCAGAUGUGAAAUCCCCGGGCUUAACCUGGGAACUGCGUUUGAGAACUACAA